UUCCAAAUCCUCAGCAUAAAAUUUAACGAUUUUCAUUUAAAAGUUAACUUUUUUUUAUUUAUUAACCUUAAAAUUCGAAAAGAACAAAACGACCCAACUGCAUGAUCGUUAAUAUCGACCAGCUCUGUUGAUGGGACUUUUUGCUCGCUAAAGGUCCCAUCUGUCAUUUUCGAUUUUUGUUUACAAAAUUGCACAUGGGACCUUUGGCAUGCAAGCGAGCUCUCACAGUAAUUUUGAAAAUAUUUGGAGUUAAAUUAAUAAAAAUGGAUCCUAUACAAGACCAAUCCAAAUUAAGGGAUGAAUAAUAUUUCAGAAGCAGCAUCACGUCGAAGCCAAAGAUCCGCUGGCAGCAGUCACUAUGGUAGUCAACCUGCACCUCCACAGAUAGAUGCUUCGUGCGAUGAAAAAUUCAAGCUACGGGAGAGUUGCAAAUGCCGAACCUGCACCUUCAAAGAAGGAUAAUUCAGUUUUUAAGUUCUCUAAGAGGAACAGCGCUGAGUCGCCACGGAGCUGGAAGGAGCGCACUGGAACUUUUCAAAAUGUUUCAGGUCAGGAUGUGUCAUCAGUGUCGACCAAAUCUACACGGCGCUCGUUGAAUUUCGAUAGUUUUGCGUCCAAAUUAACUGCAGGACAGGUCAACAAUCUUUGCAAAAACAGCAGCAUUCAUCAUGUUCCGUUUCAUGAGAUGAAAAUUUCAAGCUACGGGAAUGUUGCAAAUGCCCGUACAACGGAUUGGAUUUUGCAACAGAAUCACGCAAAGUACAACAGAUGUAGGUUACGGAUUUUUUCCAACACUCGAGUCAAAAGCAGCAAUCUCUCCUCUACAGUAGCCUCGCCACCCAUAGGGGUGAUCGGGGCAAUAUGGGCCGCCUAAGGAAAACGUCAUAAAAUGCAUAGCAAAACAGCAAAAUCUAUCGUUUAAAUGCAAGUGACUAGUACUACAACAUGUAUUCUUCCAUGUUACGUCGAUAAUUAAUGCUAACAUUGACUAUAAAAUUUGUUUAGGAACGUUUUUGAAAACCUUGUUUAUCUGCGUG